rnacentral:lncRNA from 1 species
GUGAGUACUGCAGGCCUGGGGGGCCCGGGCCGGCUGGCCAGAGCCGCCCCGAGGGACGACGAUGAGGAUGCCCGGAGCCGCUUUGCCCGUGACGGGCACGUCCUGACCCCCAUCUCCCGCACACUGGGGCUCCCGGCGGGUCCUAGCUCCCCCCGAUUGAGCUUUACUCGUAUUGUUUUCGUGUUCACACACUUGGGAGGUGGGGAGCUGGCGAGGGGAGGCAAGAGGAGACAUCCCUCGCGCGAGGGAGCAGUCAGGAGGGAGACAAGCCAGAGGCGCCCAGGUGCCCGGCGCCAAAUGGAAGUGACAGCGUCCAGGCGUUGGCAUUCGGUCUUCCCGGCAGCAGGAGGUCAGCGCUGACCUGCGGCGGCGGUGGCACUUUGUAUUUGUCGGCUGAUUUUUAUCAACUUCGGGGAGGGCAUGCGUGUGCGUGCGUGUGCCUGUGUGUGUAUCUCCGUCCCUGACUUGGGCACCUCCAGGCCUGGGUUUUCGGCGACGCUGCCUGGGCGCUCACCUUGGCGAUCCGUGCCGCACUCGGGGCCGGACACACGGGGCAGAGAGCCUGGGGGGCGGCACACAGGGCCGGGGACCUGCGGCUGACCUGGGAGGGAGCAUUUAAAGCAGCAUCUUGCGCGCGCGCAGACAAUAACGGGUCUGGAUGCGGGGUCCCGGGGGCUGUGCGUUGGGUCCCCGCGCCGAUCUCGACCCCGCCUCUCCCUCUCGUGGGCUUGGCCGCUCGAUGCUGCUGCGCGGCGCCGCUCACCGCCCGGCGGGGGACCCGCGUGGGGCCCGCUUUUGUUUACAGACCUCGCCAUUGGGUGAAAGCUGCGCUCUGUGCUCCCCCAGCCCAGGCCGCCGCCGCGCGCCCCCUCCGAGCCUGGAGAAGUUGGUGCGUGCUGUCAGGUGACGCCCCCUCCCCCGGCCUCCUGGCGAGAUGCUGCAGGGAAAAGACGCCCAGACGGCGCCUUCGCGCCCAGUCGCCGCCGCGCACGGCGCCCCCAGGCCCCCAGCGCCCAGCGGCGCCGUGCCCUGGCCAGGGGCCCUCUCAGAUUGGCGGCCGUCGGGGCGCUGACCGAGCUUUGCUCACCUCCUUUCCGGUAGCAUCCUUUGGCCUUGCCCUCGGAUCAGCCCAGGUUGAUUCCCUGUCUGCCUUUUCCUGCGUGUUGGCAAGUCUUGAAGGACGCGCGCGAGCCCUUGGGGACGCUGGCCAAUCCGUGCCCGCUUCAGUGGUACCCACGCGGCUCCGCGGAGCAGCUGUGGAGCAUCCUUGAGGCAGAGCGGUCCCGCUCUGGUUACCCGCGCGUGUUGACUUGGCGCGCACUUUGUUCGAGCUGGAGCAGAGCUUAAGAGCCUGGGCGCUGAGGUCAAAGGAACCCGGGUUCCGAUGCCCUCUCAGCGUCACUCAAUCUGGGGAAUAUACGCCGAGCUACUUCAUCUCCCUGCGUCUCAGUUUUCGCGUCUGUAAAGUGGGGAUAAUGAAUAACCCCAUUUGUGGGGAGUUUUAAGCAACAGUAUAAAUAAACUCCUUUGUGUGGCGAAUGCCACCUAUGAAACGCUGGAAUAAGGUUUCCCUGGGAGAGGGAAUCUGUUACAGAGGCCGGCCCGUGUCUCCAACCCCUCUCUGCAUUUCUUCAGUCUCCCAGCUUUUAUUUUAUUUUAAGAAGCUUGCGAAGGACUCCUGUUCUCAGUUUCAAACACGGCUUGUUUGACUUGGCCUCACGUUUAACUAUACUUGUCUAAUCGCUUACAGUUCCUUUUUAUGUGUUUGGAUUUCCACUAGGUUUUAGUCGUUUCUUCUUCCUCAAGGCUAUGCCGAGGCCCAGGCCUGGGUUUGGAGGAGGGAGACUUGUCCAGGUGCCAAGUGGUGGCCUGGGAGCCAAUGGCGGUUGUGCGAAGUGCUUACCCCAGGGUGGAGGGAGGUUUGAACAAAGAGAUACCUGGAGGCAGGGAGGAAACACUUCCUGGUCGAAGUGAAAUUUGAGCCGUGUCUUGUAGCAGAAGUUUGGUAAAUGGGUGGUUUCUAGAAUAUUCUCUUUGAUACCCCUACAGUAAAGAGCUCUGCCAAGGAUGUUGUCUUGGAGCGGUAUACAGCAAAGUUGCUAAGUAAUUAUCUUUGAAUAGAGGAGAAAUAAAUCUAAGGAGGAGGCUGCUGACUAACUAGGGAAGAUAGAAGCGGAGAAUUGAUUUCACUGAAUAUCUUCAAAAUGCUGUCAGUGUGUUUUGACUUGUUUUUUCCUCUGCUUCAUCAGCUCAGCAUUGCUGAUUUUCUAUAGGCAAAGAGAGAAGCCAGUUUCAUACAGGAAAAAUACAAACAAUAGCAAAAACAACCUCCUCAACAACCCAGAAUCAGAUAAAUAGUUUAAAAGAGACAAUCUCAGGCUUGGCUACGGAAUAAGGAAUUAUUGGAAAAUUCCUAUUUCAACGCUCUUUUGCCUGUUGGGGCAAAUUAUUGAGCUGGGUGCAGUAACACAUCCUUUGAAUGUAGACCCCUGGGGCCUUUACCAGCCCAAACAAACAAACAAACAAACAAACACAAACUAGGUGAGGGACCUGCAGUCUGUCCAGUGGGCACGGAAGCCCACAGGGAACACUGCUCACCUCCCCCUGCCUCGGUUGCCCCAAGUGGAGGCUGACUUCUGCAAGUGGCGCGGCCAGUAGCGUUAUUGCUAGACAGCAAUUAAUGCAUGUGAUAACGUGUUUAAAGUUCCACACCCAGAAAUGAUCCUGAGCCUUCCUGCACUUGUUCUGGGAAUUCUCUGGCCCUUAGGGAUGCUGAAGGCAGCUUUGCCCCUGCUGCUGUCUGGGGAUCAAAUCAGUUGGGGGCCUAGACUUAAAAGGGAGCACAUGGUUAGGAAAUCUCAUUAGCUGACAAUUUAACUCCACUCUAAUGCUCUUCCAAAGAGCUGGGACAGAGGCUUCCUCCUUUCCCCCUGCAGCUCUCCUCGCUCCCCCUCUAAACCCGAGAGGAAAGGCAGCACUGUCCUGUGUCCCCCCCAUCCUGCCAAAUUCCUGCAGUUCUGGCUAGCUGACUGAACCCUGGGCAUUCUGGAGUGCCCGGGCAGGAAUUCCUCCCCAAAAACUUUGCUGAGCUGGUGGCCUCCUGGGCGUGCGUGUUAACGCUUAGCCCUUUCCUUUCCGCAAGGAGCUUACUGUCAGAAGCAGCAUUUCUGUGAGACAGCCUUUUAAUAGAUGCGCAGAACAAGCCUUUGCAUUCCCAAGGGCAGGUGAGAGCUUAGGAAUCCCAUGGAAACUUCAUCUGGAAGUCAGUGAUGCAGGGGGCUUCUGCCUGUGUGAGAGGACAGGAGGGGUGGGGAGGAGAAGGCAGAGAGAGGAUUUGGUACCUAGGGGCAAUGUACGGAGUCCCAUGAGAUUCCUGAACCCCACAGUUCAGGCUUGCGGUUGAGAAAGAGCCUUAUUUUCAAUCUCUCCAGUCAUUUGGACUCCUGCAUCGAAAACACUGUUUCCCUGGGCAUGAGUGUGUUUGUGUGCACGCACGCGCGUGUGUGUGUAUACACGUUUAUAUACACACAUGCAUAUAUACGUAUACAUUUUCCUUUCUGAAUUAAUCAGAUAUGGGACCGGCUGGUGGCUCAGCGGUUAAGUGCGCGUGUUCUGCUUGGGUGGCCUGGGGUUCGCUGGUUCGGAUCCUGGGUGCAGACAUGGCACUGCUUGGCACACCAUGCUGUGGUAGGCGUCCCACAUGUAAAGUAGAGGAAGAUGGGCAUGGAUGUUAGCUCAGGGCCAGUCUUCCUUGGCAAAAAGAGGAGGAUUGGCAUCAGAUGUUAGCUCAGGGCUAAUCUUCCUCAAGAAAAAAAAAAUUAAGCGGAUAGAGUGUAUGUUUCUGCGUGUGUGUCUAUCUUUUUGGUUUUUCUUCCCCCCUCAAAAAAGGACCAGGAAAAAACAGGUUUGCAAGGCCCCAGCAAAAUUUUUCUGUUUUUUAGGAUACCAAACUUCAGGUGAUUUCAUCUCUAAAUAUUCAGUUCUUUUCUUUUUAAAGAUUGGCACCUGAGCUAACAACUGUUGCCAGUCUUCUUUUUUUUUCCUGCUUUUUCUCCUCAAAUUCCCCCAGUACUUAGUUGUAUAUUCUAGGUUGUAGGUCCUUCUAGUUGAGUUAUGUGGGACACCGCCUCAGCAUGGCCUGACAUGCGGUGCCAUGUCCACGCCCAGGAUUUGAACUGGCAAAACCCUGGGCCGCCGAAGCGGAGCACGUGACCAUAAUCAUUCAGCCACGGAGCCAGCCCCUAAAUAUUCAGUUUUAUGUAAGUAAUAAUCCUGUGCUAGAAAAAUUCUCUCAUCAUUGUAGGCCAAAUCACUUACUUUAAAGGUUUUCUUUUAUUAUUAAAGGAGGCACUCAAAAAUAAAGUAGUGCUUCGCAAGGAACAGAGUGUUUUGAAAAUAAAACAAUGCUCUAGUGUAAGAGGUACAAGAUGUUAGUACAUAGGCGGGUUUUUCGCUUCUGUCACCUUCCCUCCCCCCCCCCCCCCCACCGCACCUUCCUCCACACCCCUCCAGCAUAAGACUUUCACUGUUCCCUGUGGUCUCCAGGGGCCUCAUUAAGAAAUUCAUAAAGGUCUAGACUGUGGAUGUGGAGAGAUUCCUCCCGUGCUUGUGUGAGAUUUUUCUAGAAGACCUUGGAGCUCUCUUGCUCAGUGAGGAGAUUCUUCUCUAGUUGUGCCGAGGCUGAGCUGAGAGACUUGUAUUCUGCUGCAGGAGGGGUCUCAGUUCAUUGAAACCGGUGGGGUCCACAAUACGGGCAUGAUAUAAGAGCCGGUCCAUUGUGUGCAUUCAAAGGAUGUUAAACAGAGCGAUCAUUCAUUGAGGGACUCUGUGGGGUGAAGGCUCUUUCAGCCGGGCGCAUCCUCCUGUUCAGAAUGGGUCAAGGCCCUUUGCAUCUUGGUGCUGUCACAGAGUAUCUGUCUGUCAAGGGAGAUUUCGAGGUAGUUGGAGGCAAGCGGGAUCCUAGCAUUUUGGAGCCCAGCAAAACUGAAGUGUGUUAUGAAAGAUUCCGCAGAUUUUCUGGCCGGGGUCACUUAGACUUCGUGAAGGAAGAGAAAUAAAAGGGAUUGGGGAGUGUCUUUGCUUUAAAAAAAAAAAUAAGACGGCUGCAUUAUUUAAUUCCAGCUUCUGUCCCCAUGGAGCAUGAUUUUAUUAAGUGCCACUGGAUUAGUAUACAGGUGAGUACACAGGUGUGUGAGCAAAUAUGUGGUUGGGAGACAGUGGACUGAGGGGCCCAAUCUGGGCUUGGAAUGGGCGGGGAGUGGUCGGGAGGUUCAGCUACAGAGAUUCAGUUGCUUUUCCUUAAAAACGCCAAACCCAGUUUUCUGUGGCCACAGAGAAGACGGGAUAUCCUGCAGAAAGAAGCUGCCACUGCAGUGGCUGCCUCCAGCCGAGCGCUCUCCUCCUGGGCCAGGAGCUGCGAGCCUUGUAGACAGAUCCAUUCUAGUUCCUGCUCCUGGUCUCCUCGGCCCUCCGCAGAGGUGAUGAUGAGCCCUGGAAAGCCACCAGUCAGCCCCGAGGGAGAGGGAGGUCAGGCUGAGUCACCAGUCUGGGAAUCCUCCCUGUGGAGCUGUCAGGACCAUGGACGUGGAUGGGAUGCUCCACCCAAGGCUGCUCCGAAGAGGGGGUGGUGGUGGGCCUGAUGCCUGCAGGGUAGACUGAACUUUUUGUGUUUAUUGUUUUGAACUUUGUUUUAAGCUUUUAGAAGACACUAUUGUUGGCUUAUGUCUUAAAUCCUUAACAUAUCCUGGAGCAAAACAAAUAAACGAAAUAAAACGAGGAACAGCUUUUUUUUGGACUCCUCAUCUAUGAGACAGUGAGGGUAAAACAAAUUAUUUCUGAGGACCUUUCUGGCUUCUGCUGUUCCACGUCCUAUGUCUGAUUUUAGGAACCAGAAGUUUAAAAGGUGAAUGGGUUGCAACAUUAAGAGUUCUGAUUCUGGGGAAAUGGUUGUAGAUGACCUAUUGUGACUGUUUUUUGUUUUCUGUUAAGAGAUGUAAUUUUUUUUUGAGCAGGUUUAGGUUCACAUCAAAAUUGGUCAGAAAGUACAGAGAGUUCCCUCUCAUAUACUGCUGGUGGGAAUGCAAACUGGUGCAGGCUCUAUGGAAAACAGUAUGGAGAGUCCUUAAAAAAUUAAGAACAGAACGACCAUAUGAUCCAGCUGUUGCACUGCUGGAUAUUUAUCCAAAGAACAUGAAAAGACGAAUGCGUAAAGAUACAUGCACCCCUAUGUUCAGUGUGGUGUCAUUCAUAAUAGGUAAGAGUUGGAAACAACCUAAGUGCCCAUUCAAGGGAGGAAUGGAUACGGAAGCUGUAUAUAUACACAAUGGAAUACUACUCAGCCAUAAAAAAAGAUGAAAUCUUGCCAAUUGCGACAACAUGGAUGGACCUUGAGGGUAUUAGGCUAAGUGAAAUAAGUCAGAGGGAGAAAGAAAUACCGUAUGAUGUCACUCUUAAGUAGAAGAUAAAAACAACAAGAACAGCAACAAACAAGUAUAUAGAUACAGAGAUUAGAUUGGUGGUUACCAGAGGAAUGGGGGAGGGAGGGAGGUGAAAGGGGUGACUGGGCACGUGUGUGGUGAUGGAUCGUAAUUAGUCUUUGGGUGGUGAACACAAUGUAGUCUACACAGAAAUCAAAAUAUAAUGAUAUACACCUGAAAUUUAUGUAAUAUAAACCAAUGUUACCGCAAUAAAAAAAGAAAGAAAGAAAGUACAGAGAUUUCCCAUAUACCCCUGUCCCUACACAGGCACAGCCUCCCCCACUGUCAGCAUCCCCACCAGAGUGGUGCAUUUGUUACCAUCAAUGAACCUACACUGACACGUCAUUGUCACCCAGAGUCCAUAGUUACCUUAGAGUUCACUCUUGGUGCUGUUCAUUCUAUGUGUUGGUCAAAGGUACGCUACAUGUAUCCGCCAUUAUGGUAUCAGACAGAGCAGUUUUACUGCCCUAAAAAUCCUCUGUGCUCUGCCUGUUCAUCUCCCCUUCCCCACUAACCCCUGGCAGCCACUGAUUUUUUUUCCUGUCUCUGUAGUUUUGCCUUUUCCAGAAUGUCAUGGAGUUGGCUGGCGGCUGGUUUUGAGAAGGCCGUGUCACCCUUGAGUCAUUCCUCAGGAGUCUCUCCCCACCAUCCUCUGCCCUUCUCCUCUGAUUGCCUCUAGACUGGGAUUUUAGAGUUGGAAAGCUUGAUAGAUAAGGCCUUUUCAACCCAGGAAUUGUCUCUGUGACACACUGGCUGGGGAAUGUCACCUGAGCCUUUGUUGUGGUUCCCAUUAUGGAGCCGAGGGAAGAACCAGAGACCCAGUGUCGGAAGGUCUGGUUCUGGUCCUGGCAUUGACCAAGUCACUUGCCCUUUCUGAGGCUGGCCCUCUCUGGUCCCUCAAUGGAGUGACGCCAGAGCUGUGCCCCCUUCCAGGUUGUAGGGGUGACAUGAGAGAUGUGCGGGCUGGCCUUUGUUAACUCCAAAGGAAGGUACGAAAGGCAUCUGAGGAGGCUGACCCCGCACAGCCUUGUCCUUGGUUGAGCAAGCAAAUUGUCAGAAGACUGCUCCCUGCAGGCAGUGGACGUCUGCCUUCCUGAAACUUCCUCCCACCCACGCCACCCUGCCCUAAGGCGGCGUGUUCUGUGAACACCCAAUUCAGCAUUUCAAAUUUUGGUGUUGGGAAGUGUCAGGGGCUGUAUUGUGUCCCCCAAACUUCAUACGUUGAGGCCCUAAUCCACAGGACCUCAGAAUCUGUGACUGCAUUUGGAGACGGGGCCUUCAAAGAGGUGAGUAAGUUAAAACGAGGCAUUAGGCUGGGCCUUAAUCCAGCCUGACUGGUGUCCUUAAAAGAAGAGGAAAUUGGGACAUACAGAGAGCCACCAGGAAUGCUGGACCACCAAGGAAAGACCACGUGAGGCCACAGUGGGAAGGCAGCUGUCUACAAGCCAAGGAGGGAGACCUCAGCAGAAACCAUCUGCUGGCACCUUGAUCUCAGACUUCAGUCUCCAGAAGAGUGAGAAGAUAAAUUUCUGUUGUUUACCCCUCGCAGUGUGUGGUAUUUUGUUAUGACAGCCCUACCCAACGAAUACAGGAAAAUGGUUCCAUUUCUCUCCAUCUUCCGACCUCUUCAUUUUCAAUGUCUUAUUGCAGCCCCUUUGACACUUUUCUUAUUGAACUUUUCUUAGUGAGACUUGCAGAUCAAAUGGUAUCCUUCGCUUUAUUCUUUCUUCUGGGCAAAGCACGAGGUGUCAUUUUUUUUACAAGUAAAUCAUUCAUGUUUUUUUUUUUUUGCUGAGGAAGAUUUGCCCUGAGCUAAGAUCCAGUGCUAAUCUUCCUCUUUUUGUUUGUGAGCUCCCAUCACAGCAUGGCCACUGAUAGAUGAGCGGUAUAGGUCCAUGCCUGGGAAACGAACCCAGGCUGCUGAAGCAGAGCACACCAAACUUAACCACUGGGCCAUGGGACCAGCCCCAUUAAUACUUUUAUAAAUGGUGUUUAUGACAAUGACCGUUAUACUGGCCACCGUUUAUGGAUCCUCUCCUUGGUGCUGGGUGUUUUCGCUACUUUAUACAUUAUCAUUAAAAAAUCCUUGCAAGGUGGGUAUUGUUAUCCCAUUUUACAGAUGAGAAAGUGGGGAAGCAGAGAGAGUAGAUGACGUGAGCAAGGCCACACAACCUGGAUCCACGAAAUCCAACGCUCAUCAGCUGAUGACAGCAGCUGUGUUUUUAUGGGGGCUGGGAUCGACUGAUCCCCACCCCCCCAAAUAUUCUGCCUCGUUCAAGGCCGUUCAUUUCCACCCUUCUCAUUUCAUAUCCCUCUCCUGAGCAGGCCAGUGUGCCCACAUGCCCCGCCCGCCUGAGCAGACUGUUUAUUGUGGAAUAACCAGCCCUUUCUCUUUCCUCCUCUCAAUUAAUGCAAUCCAAUAGCUGAGAGUCCUCAGUCAAAGGUAUUUUCUUUAGGCGAGACCGUUUAAGAGUGGAAGAAAUUUCCUGUUGAGAGGUUUUAUAUAUGUGGUGUGUGUGUGCUCCGGGAGGCAAAUGGAUGUUUAAGUGUGUGUGAGGUAAAGUAUAGCAGACUCCGGAAGUCUGGGGACCGCUCAGGUCCGUAACCCUUACUCUCGCACCAGCUGUCCCGCUCUGCGAGGCCUUCUGGGUUUCCCAUUUAUGGGGCCCUUUGACUGUUACGACACCUGUUUAAAUCUGGUGUUUCCAUUACAGGGAGGGGUUUGGUAGGUGGCUGGAACGGGAGACCGUGCAGCAGUCACGUGUGCAGCCUGCCCCUCCUCCGGCUACUUCUUAUGGAAAAUCCAUUUUUGGUGUUUUGUUUCAGUGAGAAAAGCAUAAAAAUAUUUUCAGGGACCCACCUCCCCCUUGCUUGCAGCUAAAAUUUCAGCCUUUGACGAGGGGGGCCCAAAUCUCUUUUGAACAAAGACAGCACGAAUCAACGCGUUGUUGUCUCCACAUUACUUUUGGGAAAAAAGAUGAUCUUUUCAAGCAUGUUACGUGGACUUUGUUCCGUGAAAUUGCAUGACUUUAAACUUGCCUGGUGAUGGCAUUCUGUGUCAUCUCCUUUAGAAUUAUUGGCCUCGUCAGGCAGGAGAUCUUUGCUGUAGACAGAGCAAUGUUAUCCCCAUUUUACAGAUAGGAAGCUAUUUACCAACAUUUGUGUAUGUGUAUAUAUAUAUGUCUCCUUAUUUAAAUAUAUGUAUGUAUCUUUAUUUAAAAAAAUAUUGAGGGGCCGGCCCUGUGGCCAAGUGGUUAAGUUCUCGUGCUUCGCUCUGGCGGCCCAGGGUUUCGCUGGUUCAAAUCCUGGGCGCGGACAUGGCACCGCUCAUCAGGCCAUGUUGAGGCAGCGUCCCGCAGGCCACAACUAGAAAGACCUGCAACCAAGAUAUACAACUAUGUACCAGGGGGAUUUGGGGAGAUAAAGCAGAAAAAACAAAAGAAAGAAAGAUUGGCAACAGUUAUUAGCUCAGGUGCAAAUCUUUAAAAAAACAGUAUUGAAAUUGAAAUACAACAUGCAUAUAGAAGAGUGUACAUUAUUCUAAAUCUGUAGCUUAAUGAAUUCUUACAAACAACACACCCAUGUAACCAGCACUCAGAUUCAGAACCAGAACAUGUGGAGACCCCAGAAACCUCCCCUCUGCCCCUUUCCUUUCAGGGCAACCCAAUCUUGAUUUCUGGCACCAUUGAUCAGUUGUUGUCCUUGAUAAUAACGGAAUCAUUUUUCAUCAAUUGUUUUCCAUCAGUUUUGCCUUUACGUGGUUGCAAGAUAGAAGCUAUCUAAUAAAGUCCACAUGAAGAAGUCUUGUUCUCACCCUCUCCUUAUUAACCCCAUUCUGUCUAUACCCUCAGGGAACUCCUUUUCUUGGUUUCCCGAGAAUCCUUGCAGUAUUGGUGUAGAUAAACACAGGUGUGUAUUCUAAUUUUCACAAUUUUCUUUUUCAAAAGAUGGCACCCCCUCCUCCCUGCCCUACGCCUUGCUGUGUUACCUCCCUCGGUCCCUCGGCUUCAGUCCUAUUACCCACCAUGGUUCAGGCCCUGUGUAGAGGGUUGAGUAGUGUCCCCCCAAAACUCAAGUCCACUGGGAGCUCCGAAUGUCACCUUAUUUGGAAAUAGAGUCUUCGCAGAUAUAAAUUGUUAAGAGGAGGUCAUAGUGGAUUAGGGUGGGCCCUAAAUCCAGUGAUUUCCGAUCCGGAGACGCAGACACAAGGGGAGAAGGCUGUGAUGAUGGGGGCAGAAACUGGAGUGGGGUACGUACAGGCUGUGGAUUGCGGGAGCCACCAGGGGCUGAAAGAGACAAGAAAGAUCCUCCUCCAGAGCCUCUAGGGGGAGCGCAGCCUUGCUGGCACCUUCAUUUUGGAUUUCUAACCCCCAAAACCGUGAGACAACAAAAUUCCAGGUUUUGAGCCAUCCAGUUUGUGGUACUUUGUUAUGGAAUCCCCAGGAAACUGACACCCUCUCCUUGCCCUGUGUCCUGAGCCUCGCUGCUUCUCUCUGACAUCUCAUCUUUACCCUCCAAGGCAUCUUCCCCGCGGAGGUCAGCCGUCCCUCUAAAACAUGUCUGAUGGGUGUCACUCCUGGCUUAGAACCCGUCAGAGAUUCCCUUUUGUUUACUGGAUGACGUCCAAGCUUCUUGGCGUGGUGUGUGUCCCCUGCUCCACCUCUUCUGCCUCACCUGUCACUCACCCCAGCCUGGCCCAGUCAACCCCGAGGUGGACGCGGAUGGGCAACUGCCAACGGGGCCGCUGUGUUUGGAUUGAAGAGCACCAGGUGUGACUUUGAAUUUGAUGCAGCUAGAUGGCUCUUCCGGCCGGGUCCACCGCUGUGCCCAGGACUCUCUUCUUUCUACGGUUCUUGCAUUUAAAUGACCUUCCUGGCCUCCACAGUGGUUCAGGUUGCAGCCUUCACUCACAAAUUCGCAAACACAGCAGGCUCCUGCACAGGGAUGCAGUGGUGAGGGCAGUAACCCAGAGUCCGACUGCCUGGUUUGCAUUGUCUGCUCGGCCACUUACUGACAGACUGACCUUGCUCUGUGCCUCAGUUUUCCCAUCUGUCAAAUGGGGAUAGUAAUAGUAGCGACCUGGGAGGGCUGUUGGGAGGAGUAAACGAGUUCAUUCCUGUAGAUGUUCCCAACGGGCCUGGCUUCUGUUAAGAGCUCAAAAAGUGUGAGCACCUAACAUUUUAUGCUGCAUUUUCUCCCCUUCCAGUCUAUUCUUACUUACUGUUGUUGUUGUUGUUGUUUUUAAAGAUUGGCACCUGAGCUAACAACUGUUGCCAAUCUUUUUUUUUUCUUUCUGCUUUAUCUCCCCCAAAUCCCCCCAGUAUGUAUAGUUGUAUAUUCUAGUUGUGAGUGCCUCUAGUUGUGGCAUGUGGGACGCCGCCUCAAUGUGGCCUGAUGAGCGGUGCCAUGUUGGCGCCCAGGAUCCAAACCAGUGGAACCCCGGGCGGCUGCAGUGGAGCGCCCAAACUUAACCACUCGGCCAUCGGGCUGGCCCCUAUUCUUGCUUACUUUUUAAGGUUCAGUUGCGGGCAUUGUCAUUUCUAGAAAGCCUUCCAGGACCUUCGCUGUUGACAGAGUAACCUGUUGUCUUUUUUUUUUUUUGAAGUAGUGUUACAUUUGUUGUUUACCUGGACUACUAGCUUUAGAAGUUGGUUACUCUUGUUUUUUUUUUUGAGGAUGAUUAGCCCUGAGCUAACUACUGCCAGUCCUCCUCUUUUUGCUGAGGAAGACUGGUCCUGAGCUAACAUCCAUGCCCAUCUUCCUCUACUUUAUAUGUGGGAUGCCUGCCACAGCAUGGCUUUUGCCAAGCGGUGCCAUGUCCACACCCGGGAUCCGAACUGGUGAACCCCAGGACGCCGAGAAGCGGAACGUGCAAAGUUAACCGCUGCGCCACCGGCCCGGCCCCUCUUGUUUUUAUUAAAAUAUAAUUGACAUACAGUAUCCUAUUAGUUUCAGGUGUAUAUCAUAGUGAUUCAAUAUUUAUAUCUAUUAUGAAAUGAUCACCACAAUAAGUCUGGUUACCAUUCUCACCAUACAAAGUUAUUACAAUAUUGUUGACUCUAAUCCCUAUGCUGUACAUUACAUCCUCAUGCCUUAUUUAUUUUAUAACUGGAAGUUUGUACCUCUUAAUCCCCUUUACCUAUUUCACCUGCCCCAACCCCUCCCCGCUCUGGUGACCAUCAGUUUGAUCUCUGUAUCUGUGAGUCUGUUUCUGUUUUGUUUGUUUGUUUUGUUUUUAGAUUCCACAUAUAAGUGAAGUCAUACAGGAUUUGUCUUUCUCUCUGACUUAUUUCACUUAGCAUAACACCCUCUAGGUCUGUCCCAUUUUCUCUAUUAAUCUGUUGUGUGCCUCUCUCCGUGGAGGCCCUGGAAUUCUUAAGGGCAGGCCCAUCCUAGAUCUCGGGCAUCCCUGUCCCUGGCAUGGGGCCUGGCACGCUGUAGGUCUUCGGUUUGUUGCUUGCUCAGGAAAAGAACAAGUCGUGAGCUGAGCGUCCUCACAAGUGUCAGGAUGUGCCAGGGUUGACCUCAAACUCUCCUGUCAGCUGAAAACACUUGUCUAGGGCUUUUCUGUUCCCAUGGGGAGGUGUGGGGAGUGUCUGAGUUCUCUGAGAGAUCAGGGCAAUGGGAGGGAGAAACCGGCCUGGGUGGAGAACCAGCCUUCCGGCUGACUUCACAGUUAAAGGGACUUGCUGCCGUCUCAAAGCUCCUGUGGGAUCUGCUGGACCCGGUCUUUUGAUGGGCAGGCCAAGUUCAUUCGCAGCUCCGCAGUGCCUCACAUAGGGUCAUCUUCCCGUGAACCUCUGUAAAGCUUGGUGUCCAUACCUUUCAUGAAUUUUAAGGAGUCAGAGCUAAUUUAAAUAUGCUUCAGUUUUAAGGUGAUAUGAGAAAGAAUUGGGUUAACAAGAACUUUCUGGAUCAACUGAGAGAGACAAAGACCCUGAGAAAAAAAUGUCAAGCCCUUCAAAUAUCCUAACAAUGUUUAUUCUUUUAGGAUUUUUGGAGUGGUAAAGACUUAGUGAUGGGUGGGCAGAAAUUAAGAUUUUUAAGUGCUGGUUUUGGAUUCUUUGGUUUGUCCUGGAACUUAGAACAGUGUAGACCAUUAACUCAGGGCUCAGUUCCCUGCAGUUAAAGAUGCUUGCUCUCUCAGUGCAGACUGGACUUAAUGACUUUUUAAUACGGCUUGGAGAUGCAGAAAAGAAAAAGUCCCCUGGCCGGCGUGUUGGGCUUAGAAGUUUAAAUAGUGAAUUUGGAUGUUUUGUUUCAGCCCCUAGCCUGGUUUCUUGCACCUGGGCGGUCCUCAAUAAAUAUUUUGUGUUUUCCAUUAUAUUGAGAGUGUCAGGUUUUUGGAUCUGAAACUCAGGACCCUGGAGAGGUUCUUGUGAGUCCAGGCAGCUGUUUCCGACAGACCAAAGGGCAUGUUUGUCCCUUGAAGGGGCCGUGUGAAAGGAGAGCUCAGCACAUCCUGGAACUGGGCAUUUAUGAGAUCAGGAAUCCCUCGUACUUCAGAAACUCUUCAUCUAACCCCACUCCCUCCUGGCCACACGUUACAAUCAGAAGGUCGAUAGCUGUACUGCCCACUCUGGUGACCACUGGCCACGUGGCCACAGAGCCCUUGAAAUGUGGCUCGUCUGAAUUAGGAUGUGCUGUAAGCGUAAACUGUAGACCAGAUUUCAAAGACUUAGUGAGAAAGAGAAGAAUGUAAGAUAGCUCAUUAAUAAUUUUUAUAUUGAUUAUAUGUUGAGAUAUUAUUUGUGAUAUACUGGGUUGAAUAAAGC